rnacentral:rRNA from 1 species
GUCGAACGGUAACAUUUCUAGCUUGCUAGAAGAUGACGAGUGGCGGACGGGUGAGUAAUGCUUGGGAACUUGCCUUUGCGAGGGGGAUAACAGUUGGAAACGACUGCUAAUACCGCAUAAUGUCUUUGGACCAAACGGGGCUUCGGCUCCGGCGCAAAGAGAGGCCCAAGUGAGAUUAGCUAGUUGGUAAGGUAACGGCUUACCAAGGCGACGAUCUCUAGCUGUUCUGAGAGGAAGAUCAGCCACACUGGGACUGAGACACGGCCCAGACUCCUACGGGAGGCAGCAGUGGGGAAUAUUGCACAAUGGGGGAAACCCUGAUGCAGCCAUGCCGCGUGUGUGAAGAAGGCCUUCGGGUUGUAAAGCACUUUCAGUUGUGAGGAAAAGUUAGUAGUUAAUACCUGCUAGCCGUGACGUUAACAACAGAAGAAGCACCGGCUAACUUCGUGCCAGCAGCCGCGGUAAUACGGAGGGUGCGAGCGUUAAUCGGAAUUACUGGGGCGUAAAGCGCACGCAGGCGGUUUGUUUAAGCUAGAUGUGAAAGCCCCGGGCUCAACCUGGGAUGGUCAUU